rnacentral:rRNA from 1 species
CAGCGGAAAGUAGCUUGCUACUUUGCCGGCGAGCGGCGGACGGGUGAGUAAUGUCUGGGGAUCUGCCUGAUGGAGGGGGAUAACUACUGGAAACGGUAGCUAAUACCGCAUAACCUCGCAAGAGCAAAGUGGGGGACCUUCGGGCCUCACGCCAUCGGAUGAACCCAGAUGGGAUUAGCUAGUAGGUGGGGUAAUGGCUCACCUAGGCGACGAUCCCUAGCUGGUCUGAGAGGAUGACCAGCCACACUGGAACUGAGACACGGUCCAGACUCCUACGGGAGGCAGCAGUGGGGAAUAUUGCACAAUGGGCGCAAGCCUGAUGCAGCCAUGCCGCGUGUGUGAAGAAGGCCUUCGGGUUGUAAAGCACUUUCAGCGAGGAGGAAGGGUUAAGUGUUAAUAGCACUGAACA